rnacentral:rRNA from 1 species
UAGGGAAUCUUCCGCAAUGGACGCAAGUCUGACGGAGCAACGCCGCGUGAGUGAAGAAGGAUUUCGGUUCGUAAAACUCUGUUGUUAGAGAAGAACAGCGCAUAGAGUAACUGUUAUGCGUGUGACGGUAUCUAACCAGAAAGCCACGGCUAACUACGUGCCAGCAGCCGCGGUAAUACGUAGGUGGCAAGCGUUGUCCGGAUUUAUUGGGCGUAAAGCGAGCGCAGGCGGUCAAUUAAGUCUGAUGUGAAAGCCCCCGGCUAAACCGGGGAGGGUCAUUGGAAACUGGUUGACUUGAGUGCAGAAGAGGAGAGUGGAAUUCCGUGUGUAACGGUGAAAUGCGUAGAUAUAUGGAGGAACCCCAGUGGCGAAGGCGACUCUCUGGUCUGUAACAGACGCUGAGGUUCGAAAGCGUGGGUAGCAAACAGG